rnacentral:lncRNA from 1 species
GAUACGGAGAGAGAGAGAGAGAGAGAGAGAGAGAGAGAGAGAUGCAGAGAGGAGAUGACGAUGUCUCCGUUCAUGGCUUUCUUGGAUCAAAUUCGAGAUGGGGUUCGCCGUUUCCGGCGUCCGUUCCAGCCGGCGACGACGGCUCUCCGGAUGGCAUGAUGAUACCGACGCUGCCCACUGAAUGACGGUUUACUAGAUGUAGAACUCGUCGGAAAACCAUCGGUGGUAGAGAGAGUAGAGACAGUGUUGAUGUAGACGACGAGAAUCACAAGUUGCAGUCACCUACCGUCUUGCCGAAUGCCAGUUCACCUCCAUUGCUACAACCACAACCUCCUUUCCCACGUUAACAUCAGUAUAGUAUACAUUGGAGCUACUAUACACUAUACAGACGAUGGUGAUCAUUUUAUCAGGUCCUUGAGGGAUGAGGUUUCAGACAUUAGAAGAACUCCCCUCUAGGCUUUAAAGAGGCGUUGAUGCGAGGUAGGAUCAAACGCCCAACUGUUCAUUCUUCUUCUCAGUCCGCAAUUUCAGGUGGUUCGGAAGAUUACAUGUGGUUUGGCGGCAGUUACAGGAGGUUCGGCGAUCGGCGCUGAUUGUUCAGUUUUCAGUCGGAGAUUACAGGUGGUUUGGGUAGCAAUUACAGGGGUGCAAAAUGAUGGAAAAUGACUUGAGAAGAGCAUGACAGACUAGCUGCUCAAAGUCAAUUUAUUAUUCACACCGUAGGCAGGCACACGAGUUCUCUAACUCCACUUUCUUGCAAAAGCGCCAUGAUGAAACAGAUGAAGAAUUUAGAAAGCACAAUUGAGAGAGCGAAGAGGUCGCUAGAAGCAAGGAUGAAAAAGGAAGGCGGACACGCGUGAGAGCAAUGGGUUUAGAGGGUUGUAAGCGAUAACAUUUUGCUUUCUAUAUUUGAUCAAGUUAACUGUUGAUUGCAACCUUCAUAAAACAAAUAGUUCAUAAACAUUUAUAUCUUUUUCUCUCUCCUUUUGUGUACACAUUGCCAGUACAUUUAAAAACCAAACCCCACCUUGGUUAUAUGUCUUAAUAUCAUAUUUUACAUGUUCUCUUUUCGUUUAAAAAGCAAGGAAGUAGUUUGA